GACGAACGCUGGCGGCGUGCUUAACGCAUGCAAGUCGAACGGGAUUUAGUAGACAGAAGCCUCGGCUAAAGAUUACUAAUGAGAGUGGCGAACGGGUGAGUAACGCGUGAGCAACCUGCCUAUGACAGUGGGAUAGCCUCGGGAAACCGGGAUUAAUACCGCAUAAAAUCGUAGAAACACAUGUUUUAACGGUCAAAGAUUUAUCGGUCAUAGAUGGGCUCGCGUCUGAUUAGCUAGUUGGUGAGAUAACAGCCCACCAAGGCGACGAUCAGUAGCCGGUCUGAGAGGAUGAACGGCCACAUUGGAACUGAGACACGGUCCAAACUCCUACGGGAGGCAGCAGUGGGGAAUAUUGCACAAUGGGGGAAACCCUGAUGCAGCGACGCCGCGUGAACGAAGAAGGUAUUCGUAUCGUAAAGUUCUGUCCUAUGGGAAGAUAAUGACAGUACCAUAGAAGAAAGCUCCGGCUAAAUACGUG
rnacentral:rRNA from 1 species